rnacentral:lncRNA from 1 species
GUUUGGAGGCAUAAUCCACCUCUGGGAGGAGAAGGAGGGCAGCACUGUUACCAUCUCCGUACUUCAGUGGACACAAGAAUGUUGAUGCUCAAAGAGCAGGAACCCCAGAACCCCAGGCAGGUAAGGAAGAAGAGCACAGCCAGGAUCAGAAGAGUGAAGAAACAAUGAUGUCCCACAGCUCUUCCCAACUCUGGCAGUGGCUAUGGCCUAACAGCUGGUGGCAGGAACAGGGCUGUGACAAGAAUCAGCAACUGCAUGGGGCCUCAUCAAUUUCCAGAAGAGGACAGGACAUGCUCAAGCUGCCCCAAAGAGAAAGGACAAAGGAGAGGAAUUCUGAGAUGCAAGUCCCUAUGGAAGAGGGGACAGAGUUAAAUUCCAACAGUCCAACAGACUACGGCUAGAGCCACAGUCUUCUCUUACCUGUACCUUUAACGCUCAGCUUGCUAUUUGUUCCUUAGUAUCUGCUGUUAGUGAGGUUCCUUUCAAAAACAAGAAAACAAAACAGUCUUUUCCUGCUGAAGUUUUUGACUUACUUCUUUCUCUCCUUUGCACCAUCAAGUAUUUGAGCAGUGGACACCCUUGCCUCCAUUUCCUCACCCACUAUGCCCUCCUCUCCUGCUGCAAACUGGCUUCCCCCCAUCACUCUUCUGAAAUUCUGCUCCCCAAACAUACUCAUUCCAGUGAAAUUGUCUUCCCCAGAAUUACUUUGGUGUCUGAAAGGACUGGGUGAAGGGGUAAAAAACUAUUAAGAUUGGCUGGGUGCAGUGGUUCACACCUGUAAUCCCAGCAGUUUGGGAGGCCGAGACAGGUG